UAGGAAUGUCCAGAAAGAGAAGUGUAUGACCCGUCUCCAGUAUCUCCAUUCAUCUGCUACUAUGAUGACAAAUAUGAAAUUCAGGAGAGAGAAAAGAGACUAAAACAAAAAAUAAAAGUACUCAAGAAAAAUGGGGUUAUCCCAGAGCCAUCCAAGCUACCUUAUAUAAAAGCAGCAAAUGAGAACCCCCACCAUGAUAUAAGGAAGGGCCGUGCCUCAUGGAAAAGCAACAGGUGGCCUCAAGAAAAUAAAGAAACACAAAAAGAAAUGAAGAACAAGAAUAGAAACUGGGAGAAGCACAGGAAGGCUGACAGACAUCGUGAAGUGGAUGAGGAUUUUCCCAGGGGCCCCAAAACCUACUCUUCUCCUGGCAGUUUUAAAACCCAGAAGCCUUCUAAGCCCUUUCACCGUUCAUCACAUUACCACACGUCAAGAGAAGACAAGUCUCCCAAGGAGGGCAAGAGGGGCAAGCAGAAGAAAAAGGAGAGGUGCUGGGAAGAUGAUGACAAUGAUAACUUAUUUCUUAUUAAGCAGAGAAAAAAAAAGUCUUAAGCCGUCAGGCAGCCUCUGAUGUGGCUUUUCAUUGUUCAUUUGGCCUUUGUGUCUAUAACCUUCUGGCAUUGUGUUUAUUAUCUAUGAUUAAAUAAAGUGAGUUUUUGGUUUUGUUUUUUUAAUUUCAGCCAUUCCUACAGUUACUGAAUAUCCAUGGAGAUCUCAAUUCUCUGUGUCCAACAGGAUAUUAGGUAAGAAAGUACAAAGAUAAACCUGG
rnacentral:lncRNA from 1 species